UACCUUCCACUCCUCUCAUUUAACAUUUCCUGAUCGUCUACAAAGUUAACGAAAUGGGGUGCACGGUGUAACAAACUUAGUCUCACAGAGAACGUUGAAAACUAUUCAACCCCGAAUAAGAACGUUUUGUUGACGUUUACGUAAGCUACAUACAAUUUAAUGCGAAAGACGGUUUUGACUUGCUUCAGUAGCCAAGAAUGGACACCAAUUUCAACAUGGAUAAGUGUUUAUGCCACCGGCCCUUAGUUUCCGUGCUAUGCCGUAACUGUGGAUACAGGCUUAGCAAUUGCCGAAAACAGAUAAAGUGUGACGAACAUCCAAACGUAAGCUACAUCCAGGACCUAACAGAAUGUCCACAAUGUCAUAACUCCAAUGACUAUUUACAUGAAUAUGGCACUUCAAAGAGUUUUUCUAUCAGACUGUCAACUAAACAAGAGGCUAAGACCAGAAGUUGCUGAGAAUAUUGAAUUGUGAAACACAGUAUAGUAACAAUGACUGUUAAAAACUAUACAUUUUAUUCUUUGGGCCAAAUGAUUUUUCAGUUUGCAAAUUGUUUCCUACAUAUAAUUUAAAUGAACUUCUCAUAUCUGCUGAAAGUUCCUUUACACAAUUGCUUUGUUUGAUUUUUCUAAGAUUGUUUCUAUUUGAUCCAGAAAUUGGGACACAGAAUAAACCACAAGGUACCUACUUAA